UUUUGAUUAAUAAUUUAAAGUCUAAUCUGCCCACUGAUAAUAUAUUAAAGGGCUGCAGUAUUUUGACUGUACAAAGGUAGCAUAAUCAUUAGUCUCUUAAUUGGUGACUUGUAUGAAAGAUUUGAUGAAAUAUAUACUGUCUUUUUUUAAUUUAUAAAAUUUAAUUUUUUAGUUAAAAAGCUAAAAUAAAUUUAAAAGACGAGAAGACCCUAUAGAGUUUUAUAUUUAUAUAAAUUAUAAUUUUUUAUAAGAUUUAAAAUUUUAAUUUAUAUAAUUAUUUUAUUGGGGUGAUAGAAAAAUUAAAAUAACUUUUUUUAUAAUUUUACAUUAAUAAAUGAAUAAAUGAUCCGUAAUUUACGAUUAUAAGAUAAAAUUACCUUAGGGAUAACAGCGUAAUUUUUUUUUUUAGUUCAAAUAAGAAAAAAAGUUUGCGACCUCGAUGUUGGAUUAAGAUAAAAUUUAAAUGCAAAAGUUUAAAAUUUUUGAUCUG
rnacentral:rRNA from 1 species